GAUCAAAGACGUUUUAUGAGAUAUUGAUAUUGGAAGGUACAGAGAUCAAAAAGUAUAUGCAAAUUUAAUUGGCACUAUGGAUACUUGGGUUAAACUCAAUGCCAGCUCAGCCGGGAAGGAUAAACUUAUCAGAGUGCUGCAGUAUACGCUGAAGGUGGUGAAUCACUACCACCAGCAGAGGCAUACAAAUGCUGGCACACUUCAAACAUGGAAGCAGCUUGAGGGGUCUCUAAGCUCAUUCAGAAAGCUGCUGCGGAUGGGUAAGAGUGUCGAGGUGCUGCGCGGCACUUCACGCACCAUCCGCCUCUCGGACCCCGUCUACCGGGUGACGCUGACCAUUGGGAGGAUCGCCCAGUCCAUGUUCCUGUUCGCCGACCACCUGCUCUGGCUGUCCCGGGCCGGAGUGAUCAGCAUUGACGUGAAGAAGUGGGAGCAAAUCUUCUACCGCUGCUGGCUCUACAGCAUCACGAUGAACCUGUGCCGCGACGUGUACGACCUGUGGCGGGCGGCCGAGCUGUACGCCGAACACGGCAUGCCUCCGGCGCCGCGCCGCCGCCUUCUGCCCGAGCUGCGCGCCCGGCCGCUGGCGCUCAUCCUCGACCGGCACAGAGACCUGGCGGUGGACUUUGUCAAGAACGCGUUCGACCUGAUGCUGCCGCUGGCGGCUCUCGGCCACGCGCCGCUGUCGAGCGGCGCCGUGGGCGUCUGCGGCGUCGUCUCCAGCGCGCUGGCGCUCUGGACGGUGGUGGACCCGAGCCUGACGCUGCGGCCGAGCUGAGCGGACCGGCCGAGGGAGAAGGGGAAGAGGGCGUAUCGCGGAGAGUGGCGGAAGGUUUCGCCGGGCAGGUCAGUCCAGGGAUGACAGAGGGACUAGUGGGUUCAUAAGUGAGCUUGCGGAGUAGAUAUGUUAGUGAGUCCAACCUGUUCCAGUGUGCUAACGUUUAUAGCUCCCUAGGUUUGAUGGGAAUUUUGUUAUUAGUCAUUUGAUGUUUGAAUCAAAAUAUGAAAAUGCUCCGAGACGCCGCUUACCCUUGCCAGCAGAGUGCAGAGGAGAGGGUCCUUCCGUGAUAAUCGUAUGCAUGUCGAUUGUGUCAUGAUCAAUGGUGGUCUGUGUUCCGUACCGGUAGCUGGACAAACAGUCGAACUGCGAAUAGUGCAUUGUUAGCACUACGGGCAUUGAUGGACCACAUGUCAGUCACAUAGCGAUAUGUUUGAAGUCCUUUGAAGAGCUGUGAAUGAAUGUGUGCACAUUUAACGGCCCAUUCAAGCCGAAUUACUCAGUGGGAGCCUAGCGUUUAUGAGUCCAUGCGUGUAUUUGGGUACUUGCUAGUUGCUUCUUUGUACAGAGUAGGCAUUUGAGCACUGUUAAGCACAGAUGUUUGCAGCUAUGGACGCCCGAGAAAGGUGAUUGAUGACUUGUCCGCGAUAGCACAAGCAUUGCUACAGCCGCGUCACUGGGGGAAUGGCGAUUUUUUAAGGUUGUUCGCAAGUGAUGGCUGCUGUUGAGCAAUUACAAUAGCUUCUGCGACGUAAGUCACUUCUGCGAUUUUGUAUGCCUAUUAGAACGAUAUGGGACUGAUAAGUGAUAUACCGGCGUCAUUUCCGCUUUUAGAGUGGUCUUUGAUAAAACAACUGAUUCAUACUUGCAAUACAUAUAUUUUAUCAAAAAAA
rnacentral:misc_RNA from 1 species